AGUAGCGUGGCUUAGUGGAAAAAGCAUGAGUUUGGGAGUCAAAGGUCGUGGGUUCUAAUCCCAGCUCUACCG
rnacentral:tRNA from 1 species